AGUACUGAUAAAAAACUUUUAAUGAUACAGAAGCAACGCAAAGGAAGCGAGGUAGACCGAAGAAAGAUCAGAAUAGCCUCGUUGACGAUCUACAAUACUCCGACAGUGGUUCUUCUGGUCUAGAAGAGGUGGAACAGAAAGACGUGGCUGAGGCAAUGGUACAGUUGUCGGUUCGUCCUGAGGACAUGAGUGGCGAGCCGAGUUUCGACACGUCGGAGUUCCUCAUCAAACGCGAGGUGCCGGACGAGCUGCCGCAGAUGUCGGACGAGCUGGUGGACUUGGACCAG
rnacentral:lncRNA from 1 species